UAACUGCGAGUGAAGCGGGAAAAGCUCAAAUUUAAAAUCUGGCGGUCCUUGGCUGUCCGAGUUGUAAUUUAGAGAAGCGUCUUCCGCGCCGGACCGUGCACAAGUCUCCUGGAAUGGAGCGUCGUAGAGGGUGAGAAUCCCGUCUUUGGCACGGAYACCCGGUGCUUCUGUGAUGCGCUCUCGAAGAGUCGAGUUGUUUGGGAAUGCAGCUCAAAAUGGGUGGUGAACUCCAUCUAAAGCUAAAUAUUGGCGAGAGACCGAUAGCGAACAAGUACCGUGAGGGAAAGAUGAAAAGCACUUUGGAAAGAGAGUGAAACAGUACGUGAAAUUGUUGAAAGGGAAACGCUUGAAGUCAGUCGCGUCGACCGAGACUCAGCCUUGCCUUGGCUUGGUGUACUUCUCGGACUGACGGGUCAGCGUCGAUUUUGCUGCUCGGAUAAUGGCAAGGGAAAGGUGGCACCUUUGCGGGUGUGUUAUAGUCUCCUGUCGCAUGCGAGGGGCGAGAUCGAGGAACUCAGCGCGCGCCUCUGGCGUCGGGGCUUUGGCCCACGUAACGCGCUUAGGAYGYUGGCGUAAUGGCUUUAAACGACCCGUCUUGAAACACGGACCAAGGAGUCCAACGUGCCCGCGAGUGUUCGGGUGGAAAACCCGUGCGCGUAAUGAAAGUGAAAGUUGGGACCUCUGUCGUGGAGGGCACCGACGCCCGGACCAGACCUUCUGUGACGGAUCUGCGGUAGAGCGUGCAUGUUGGGACCCGAAAGAUGGUGAACUAUGCCUGAAUAGGGUGAAGCCAGAGGAAACUCUGGUGGAGGCUCGUAGCGAUUCUGACGUGCAAAUCGAUCGUCAAAUUUGGGUAUA
rnacentral:rRNA from 1 species